CAGCCAUUUCAAGACAGAACAUGAAAACAAAUAAUAUAAAACUCAACAAAUUGAAUUAAUUCAAGCAAAUCUUAAACACAUAACAAGACAGUAGAACAAUUAUACAUUAUCCAAAAAACAUCAAAGAUUGCUAAAAAAUUCAAGUUUCUCUUGAAGCUUUAAAAAGAACAUACAUGGAUAUCCAAGCAUAGACCAAAUAAAAAGAUGCCAAAUUCUGAAACGGAACCGUGAACUACGAACAAAAUUAAUGAACGGACGAUCUCGUCGGACUCGAACUUGAACUGGCGACUGACCUGAACCUCAAGUUCAGUUUUGCAUUUUCCUACUCUGUUUUUCUAGCCACAAUGCGUGUGUUUGUGAUCUUUUGAGAACAAGAGAAGGCUGGUUUGAUUGCUGCAUUUUACAGUUGAUUCAAAGCUAUUUUAGGGACCUUUUGGAGUACUUUCAGUUGGUGUUUCAGCUGGUUUGAGUCGAUGGCUACUCCUCUCUGUUUUUCGGAUAUGUGUGUGUGUUGUGGUUGUUUUUUGGUGGAAACACGAAGACAAGACNNNN
rnacentral:lncRNA from 1 species